rnacentral:misc_RNA from 1 species
GUGAAUCAUCGAAUCUUUGAACGCACAUUGCGCCCAUUGGUAUUCCGAUGGGCAUGCCUGUUCGAGCGUCAUUAUCCUUCCUCAAACCUCGUGUUUGGUGUUGGACCGCGUUGGUCGAGCGACCAACUGGUCUCAAAGACAAUGACGGCGUCCGUGGGACCCUCGGUGCAACGAGCUUCUAAGGAGCACGCGUCGAGUUUCAAGGACCCUCCGGGCCGGUCUUAGCCUUUAUCUUCUCAGGUUGACCUCGGAUCAGGUAGGAAUACCCGCUGAACUUAAGCAUAUCAAUAAGCGGAGGA